GAUGAACGCUGGCGGCGUGCCUAAUACAUGCAAGUCGAGCGAACAGACGAGGAGCUUGCUCCUCUGACGUUAGCGGCGGACGGGUGAGUAACACGUGGAUAACCUACCUAUAAGACUGGGAUAACUUCGGGAAACCGGAGCUAAUCCCGGAUAAUAAAUGGAACCGCAUGGUUCAAUAGUGAAAGCCGGUUUUGCUGUCACUUAUAGAUGGAUCCGCGCCGCAUUAGCUAGUUGGUAAGGUAACGGCUUACCGAGGCAACGAUGCGUAGCCGACCUGAGAGGGUGAUCGGCCACACUGGAACUGAGACACGGUCCAGACUCCUACGGGAGGCAGCAGUAGGGAAUCUUCCGCAAUGGGCGAAAGCCUGACGGAGCAACGCCGCGUGAGUGAUGAAGGUCUUCGGAUCGUAAAACUCUGUUAUUAGGGAAGAACAAAUGUGUAAGUAACUAUGCACGUCUUGACGGUACCUAAUCAGAAAGCCACGGCUAACUACGU
rnacentral:rRNA from 1 species